GACGAACGCUGGCGGCGUGCUUAACACAUGCAAGUCGAGCGGUAAGGCCCUUUCGGGGGUACGACGAGCGGCGAACGGGUGAGUAACACGUGGGUGACCUGCCCUCAGCUCUGGGAGUAAGCCUGGGAAACGUGGGUCGUAAUACUGGAUAUGACUCCACGGUGCAUGUCGUGGGGUGGAAAGCCUUGUGCGGCUGAGGAUGGGCCCGC
rnacentral:rRNA from 1 species